GCUCUCGUGGUGUAGCGGUAGCACACUCGACGCCUACUCGAGAGGUCUAGGUUCGAGUCCCAGCAAGGGCA